rnacentral:rRNA from 1 species
GGGGGCUAGCGUUGUUCGGAAUUACUGGGCGUAAAGCGCGCGUAGGCGGACCUGCAAGUCGGGGGUGAAAGCCCGAGGCUCAACCUCGGAACUGCCUUCGAUACUGCGGGUCUCGAGUCCGGGAGAGGUGAGUGGAAUUCCUAGUGUAGAGGUGAAAUUCGUAGAUAUUAGGAAGAACACCAGUGGCGAAGGCGGCUCACUGGCCCGGUACUGACGCUGAGGCGCGAAAGCGUGGGGAGCAAACAGG